AUUAUUGAAAAAUAAAAUUACUUUUUUUAGAGUAUAACAAAUGUGCCCUCAAUAUUUUUUUGUUAAUUUAGUAUUAAUAUUUUGUUUUUGUAGGUACUUGAUCUUCUUAAAUUGUCAACGCUCUCAAAUACUCCUUUUAAGUUUAACUGACUUUAUAUGUAUGAAUUAUAAUAAAUUCCUUCAUACUUUGAACGCAAAAAACCAAUCUGACUUUAUGAUCAGAGGUACCAAUUUUUAAGGAUAGACAUGUCUUUGAAAGUACUAGUGAGAACAUAACAAGAGAGAUUUUGUAUGUGUAGCAAAGGAAGAUUUUAUCGACUUUUAAGAAAACAAAUGAAGUUGCAUUUUGAGGAUAAGAAUGUUGGAGUAUUAGUAUGAGUAAUUAAUCUCACAUUAGAUAUAAAGUGAUGAAACUCAUUUACUCAAUAGUAAGUAUCCAAACUCAUAUACUCAAUAGUAAGUAUAGUAAGUAUCCCAAGUCGUCUAGAAACUAGUCUAUCAUCAUGUUCAUGUUCACUAGUCAUUUAUACAAGAAAGGAAGCGUCCAUUAAAGGAAAAUUUUGUGAACUUUGUUUUUACUUUUUCCAACCUUCCCCUUGGAAGGAGUGUUGCACAUGCUUCAAGGAAUAUCUUCUCUAAGCUCCAUUGAUAAUUUAUAUGAAAGCAUGAAGUUGAAUCUAGAGAGAUAUUUAAUGUCUGAAGGACUCCAAGACAAACUAACUAUGCCUCAAUGUUUCCCACAAUUUGAGCUUACCAAUCAAAUAUUACCAAUUAGUGCAACACCCUUACCCGUUUAUCUUUGUCUUUUUUACUGUGGUUUAUCGUAUUCUACCGAUCUUUUUUAAUGUUGUUCGAUUUAAAUUGGUUGAUCAUCGGUCCUCUACUGAAAAAUCAUCAUUUGGAAGAGGACCAUUAAUGUAUAUGGUGACAAAUGACUUGUUUGCGACUCCAAUGUCGUCUGUAUCUACUAUGUCAUAUUUAAAAAAUCAAAAGUUCUUCUAUCUGAAUUGGAGGGAAGAGUCAUCAAAAUUGGUGUGGAGGGUCUCAGCAUUUUUAAAGCAUCUUUGAUCUCAACAUCUGCUUUACAAUAUGGUCUCAAGUAAUUUAUCAGAACCAUCAAGGUGCAGAAAUGAACAAUUAUUUCCCUCUAUAUUAUGGGGAAUAUUCUGAAUGUCAUUUUCUGUCUUCAUCAUGACAAUUGCACUACCAUGCUCAUUAGUACCCUCUUAUCCAUGAAUAGUAGUUAUAUGAGGGAUGAUUGCCUUGUAAUAGUAGACUAAAUUGUUUUGGCAGCCAGUAAUCACUAUUGCA